rnacentral:pre_miRNA from 17 species
AACCACACUAUCGAUAAAUGGAUUCACCUACGAAAUGACAUGGUUGCUUCACCUAGGACAAGGACAUGGCAUCAUAUUACCAGCCAUCGCACGAAAUUAAUAGGAUGCCAUGUUCUCAUCCAAGAUGGAACAACCACGUCAUCUCAUGAGUGAAUCCAUUCAUCAAUAGUGUGGUU